AUGGAGUUCCUCAAGAUGCAAUCAUGUGCAGGUUGUUCACAUUCUCUCUCCGUGAUGAUGCUCGUGCUUGGUAUCGAUCCUUGCCAUCAAGGUUAUACAGUUGGAAUGAGAUAUCACGAGCUUUCUUGGAUAAAUAUUUCUCACUACACAAGCAGUCCGCAAUUCGAGAUGACAUCUUCAAUUUCAUUCAGCGUGAAGGCGAGAGCGUGUAUGAUGCUUGGGAGAGAGCUGCAGUUAGUUGUUUUUUAUAUUGAGGAGUCACCUUUAGUUGAUAUUGAUCAUGUGCUGCUAGAGCCAGAUAUGGAGAAGUUCAGCUUCAAUGAUGUUAGCCGCAUUGAUUCCUCAACACUUGAGCCUAAGAUGGAAAGCUUCAUGGUUAAUUAUGAUGAGGUGGAUUCAGAUGUCAAGGAGCCAAGCUCUACUAUUUCACUUGUUGACACGAGUCCGGUGGAAAUUUCUACAAUCACACCUCACUUGGUAUCUUCAAUUGAGGUAGUCCUGAAGUUUCUUCCUAACUAUCUCAGGUAUUAUCUCAGCUUUCUGGAUAAGUUAUGUCAUAUCGCUGAUAUUGCCUAUGCACCAUGUGACUUGUUGUUGAUACAUGUUCCUGAUUUGCUCAAUAGAUAUACUUAUAUGAUAGGGUACUCGAUCGAUGACUUAGAGGGCAUUCUCUCUGUCACUUGUAUUGGCUUGGUUGUUGAGUGUUCUUUCAGGUUGAUGCUUGUGCACCAUUUACUGCGAGUUGACCGAGUUCGAGAUGACAUUCCCUGGGAUCCUAGUGGAUCCACGGCAUGGUGA
rnacentral:rRNA from 1 species